UCCGUUGUCGUCUAGUCCGGUCAGGAUACCUGGCUCUCACCCAGGCGACCCGGGUUCAAAUCCCGGCAACGGAU
rfam:Selaginella moellendorffii unplaced genomic scaffold SELMOscaffold_79, whole genome shotgun sequence.